ensembl:lncRNA MIR924HG MIR924 host gene
GGCAGGCGGGAAGUGCUCUAGCAGGGGAGUCUGACCUUGUGAGGGAAUACCUGUGUCCCCCCUUUUUUCCCCUUUUUACCCAAUAAAACCCUGCCUUACUCACCCUUUAAAUCAUCUGCGAGCCUGAAUUUUCAUGGCCGUGGGACGGACAAGAACUUUAUCUUCAGCUGAACUAAGAAAAAGUCCUGCAACAUUUUUGGCGCGCAAUGUGGGGGCACCAGAAGCGGGCACCGUUGAGCUGUUGCAACUGUUCUGCUGAUUUCUAUCAUGGAAAAUAUCCCUGCAAGCAGUAACCACUAUUUGAAUGGUGAAAUCAGCAGCACAGCAAACAUGGUUCUUAAUGAGGUGAGACCUGUUGCCUCCUUAGUCUUAUAAGAAAUAUUUAUGCACAUACAUAUUUUAAAUGUUAGGAAAGACUGUGUGUAAAAGGCAUAUUGACUCCACCUUUUACAGAUUGGAAAGAUUGGUGCAAUUCUGUUCCAACAUAUUACUUUUUCAAAGGAUCAUUUUAUAGCCAUUUUCUUUUUCUAUUACUUCAUUAUUCUUGCUUCUUUAUUUAGACUCUUUGCCAUGCAAAUAUUAUUUAAGCCUUGCUCAGCUAAUGUAGUGAUUUUUAAAUGUUUUAAUGUUCCAUUUGACAUUCCCGCUGGUCCCAUUUCUUGUGCUGAAAAUGUAUUAAUUCCCAUAUCAAUAUAUAUGUAUAUACAUUUUUUGCCCAUCAGAGGUACAAAAAGAUAUUUUCUGUGCAUACAUUAGAGAAGUUAUUACAGGUAGAUGAUAGAAGAAGAGAGAGAAAGCAGGGAGAUAAAAAGGCAAAUAAGAAAUUGAGAAAAAUAUAAACCAAAAGCAAAUGAAAGUUAGAAUUUCAAAAUAUGGAAAAAGCAAGAAA